rnacentral:rRNA from 1 species
UACAGAGGUCUCAAGCGUUGUUCGGAUUCAUUGGGCGUAAAGGGUGCGUAGGUGGCGCUGUAAGUCGGGUGUGAAAUUUCGGAGCUUAACUCCGAAACUGCAUUCGAUACUGCGGUGCUUGAGGACUGGAGAGGAGACUGGGAAUUCAUGGUGUAGCAGUGAAAUGCGUAGAGAUCAUGAGGAAGACCAGUGGCGAAGGCGGGUCUCUGGACAGUUCCUGACACUGAGGUACGAAGGCCAGGGGAGCAAACGGG